rnacentral:rRNA from 1 species
ACGAGCUCCAGCUUAAAACUCAAAGGACUUGACGGUAUCCUAACCGACUAGAGGAGCCUGUUCUAUAAUCGAUAAUCCACGAUAUACCUAACCACUUCUUGCUAUCAGCCUGUAUACCUCCGUCGUAAGCUUACCAUUUGAAUGCAUUAGUGGGCUUAAGGACUCAACGCCAAAACGUCAGGUCAAGGUGCAGCCUAUGAAGUGGAAGCAAUGAGCUACAAUUUCUAAAUUAGAACAAACAAAACACUACAUGAAACAUAGCCACAAGGAGGAUCUAGUAGUAAAUAAGAAAUAGAGAGCCUUAUUAAAUUUUGGCCAUAGGAUGUGUACACACC